rnacentral:rRNA from 1 species
UGGUGGAGUGAUUUGUCUGGUUAAUUCCGAUAACGAGCGAGACCUCAGCGUACUAAUUAGUAGCGAGAAUUAUUAAUUCUUACAAGCGACUUCUUAGAGGGACUAUCGGCGUGUAGCCGAAGGAAGUUUGAGGCAAUAACA